rnacentral:rRNA from 1 species
GAUGAACGCUGGCUACAGGCUUAACACAUGCAAGUCGAGGGGAAACGACAGGGAAGCUUGCUUCCUUGGGCGUCGACCGGCGCACGGGUGAGUAACGCGUAUCCAACCUGCCUCUGACUGAGGGAUAACCCGUCGAAAGUCGGCCUAAUACCUCAUGGCAUCGUCUGCGGGCAUCCAACGACGAUUAAAGAUUUCAUCGGUCAGGGAUGGGGAUGCGUCUGAUUAGCUUGUUGGCGGGGUAACGGCCCACCAAGGCUACGAUCAGUAGGGGUUCUGAGAGGAAGGUCCCCCACAUUGGAACUGAGACACGGUCCAAACUCCUACGGGAGGCAGCAGUGAGGAAUAUUGGUCAAUGGGCGAGAGCCUGAACCAGCCAAGUAGCGUACAGGAUGACGGCCCUAUGGGUUGUAAACUGCUUUUAUGCGGGGAUAAAGUGAGGGACGUGUCCUUCAUCGCAGGUACCGCAUGAAUAAGGACCGGCUAAUUCCGUGCCAGCAGCCGCGGUAAUACGGAAGGUCCGGGCGUUAUCCGGAUUUAUUGGGUUUAAAGGGAGCGUAGGCCGUGGAUUAAGCGUGUUGUGAAAUGCAGGUGCUCAACGUCUGCACUGCAGCGCGAACUGGUUCACUUGAGUGUGCGCAACGCAGGCGGAAUUCGUCGUGUAGCGGUGAAAUGCUUAGAUAUGACGAAGAACUCCGAUUGCGAAGGCAGCUUGCGGGAGCACAACUGACGCUGAAGCUCGAAAGUGCGGGUAUCGAACAGG